GCAUAGCCGAGUUGAGAGACUGAUCGGCCACAAUGGAACUGAGACACGGUCCAUACUCCUACGGGAGGCAGCAGUAGGGAAUCUUCCACAAUGGGCGCAAGCCUGAUGGAGCAACACCGCGUGAGUGAAGAAGGGUUUCGGCUCGUAAAACUCUGUUGUUGAAGAAGAACGUGCAUGAGAGUAACUGUUCAUGCAGUGACGGUAUUCAACCAGAAAGUCACGGCUAACUACGUGCCAGCAGCCGCGGUAAUACGUAGGUGGCAAGCGUUAUCCGGAUUUAUUGGGCGUAAAGCGAGCGCAGGCGGUUGCUUAGGUCUGAUGUGAAAGCCUUCGGCUUAACCGAAGAAGUGCAUCGGAAACCGGGCGACUUGAGUGCAGAAGAGGACAGUGGAACUCCAUGUGUAGCGGUGGAAUGCGUAGAUAUAUGGAAGAACACCAGUGGCGAAGGCGGCUGUCUGGUCUGCAACUGACGCUGAGGCUCGAAAGCAUGGGUAGCGAACAGGAUUAGAUACCCUGGUAGUCCAUGCCGUAAACGAUGAGUGCUAGGUGUUGGAGGGUUUCCGCCCUUCAGUGCCGCAGCUAACGCAUUAAGCACUCCGCCUGGGGAGUACGACCGCAAGGUUGAAACUCAAAGGAAUUGACGGGGGCCCGCACAAGCGGUGGAGCAUGUGGUUUAAUUCGAAGCUACGCGAAGAACCUUACCAGGUCUUGACAUCUUGCGCUAACCUAAGAGAUUAGGCGUUCCCUUCGGGGACGCAAUGACAGGUGGUGCAUGGUCGUCGUCAGCUCGUGUCGUGAGAUGUUGGGUUAAGUCCCGCAACGAGCGCAACCCUUGUUACUAGUUGCCAGCAUUCAGUUGGGCACUCUAGUGAGACUGCCGGUGACAAACCGGAGGAAGGUGGGGACGACGUCAGAUCAUCAUGCCCCUUAUGACCUGGGCUACACACGUGCUACAAUGGCCGGUACAACGAGCAGCUAACCCGCGAGGGUGUGCAAAUCUCUUAAAGCCGGUCUCAGUUCGGACUGCAGUCUGCAACUCGACUGCACGAAGUCGGAAUCGCUAGUAAUCGCGGAUCAGCAUGCCGCGGUGAAUACGUUCCCGGGCCUUGUACACACCGCCCGUCACACCAUGGAAGUUUGCAAUGCCCAAAGUCAGUGGCCUAACCAUUUUGGAGGGA
rnacentral:rRNA from 1 species